GUUGUGUUGUGUUGUGUAGCACUUAUAUACUGUAGUCGACACUCUUCGGUUGACGAGCGUGCCAGUAUGAGAAAAAACAAUGAAGAGCCGUCGCGACGCCAUGAAACGUUGCACUCAACUUCUCCUGCACUGUGUAUACCUUCACUCUACCCCCUACUCUAAUUGGCUAUUUUCAACGAUUUACUACGCGAACAAAUUAGCCACAUUCGUAACAGUCUGUCUUACUUCGAGUUAUCCAUCCUUCUAAUGAUCUCACUUUCCCUGACAACUAUCUACUGACAAUGACAACCGAGAAAUCUCCUUUUAAAUACUCCGACGAGACGUUUUAGAAAGCGAUAUGUACUUUUGAUAUCAUCGUUUACCAUCAAACAAAACGACAAAGAAUAUUUUCCAUUUGAGUAGAUUUACGAUAGGCGCGUGUUUUUUUACAACUCUUAAAUAACGAUAUAAAAUAUCAGAUAUAUUUAUAAGUUGAUUAUUUUAAAUGGGAUAGCAAAAAAUCAAACAGGUUUGAUAUUAAACGUCUACUUUAGUUUUUUUCUAUUAUAGAUUCGAUUAGGAUCAAGGAAGAGAAUCCCUCCCCCCAAGUUCGAUGAUAAAUUCUUGACCAAGUCAACUUUCAUUCCAGAUUGAGUUAGCAAAAGGUUGUUAACUUAUCACCUGGUAGAGAAACGCCGACCACCCAGGUUAAUCUCAGCAAAUAUCGCUAAUAUCUCGAGACGUUAUCGGUCGGUGUGUUCAUUGCUAGGGUGUUGCCAGUGAACGUAGGCUUUGAACGGGGAUUAGUUAUACAUGCGGGUUGAGUAAGACAGCUAAGAUGACGCAGGAAAGUGCUCGAGAACGCGAACGCACUUAAAAACGUUCGAACAAGUGCCAAGAAGAAGAAAA
rnacentral:lncRNA from 1 species